AAAAAAGAAGAUAAAAUCAUUUUUGAGCGCUAAAUCCAGCAUUGUGGCGCUAUCCUGAUCAGUGGCUACUUGUGUUUUUAGUGCCAUCGGAUCCUGGAAACGCCUCAUACAUUC